UACGUAGGUCCCGAGCGUUGUCCGGAUUUAUUGGGCGUAAAGCGAGCGCAGGUGGUUUAUUAAGUCUGGUGUAAAAGGCAGUGGCUCAACCAUUGUAUGCAUUGGAAACUGGUAGACUUGAGUGCAGGAGAGGAGAGUGGAAUUCCAUGUGUAGCGGUGAAAUGCGUAGAUAUAUGGAGGAACACCGGUGGCGAAAACGGCUCUCUGGCCUGUAACUGACGCUGAGGCUCGAAAGCGUGGGGAGCAAACAGG
rnacentral:rRNA from 1 species